UGUAACAACCGAGCAGUCCCUGGAUCAAGGUCUUGGUUGUACGUAAAGGAUAAGAUGCCUGAAAAGUUAACGUUUUCCUUAUUUUACCCGGGCAUGCCCUCUAUUUCUGGCCCUUUAAGGAUCUGUCUUCCCUUUGUCCAACAACAGCUCACUUAUUUGAGGGCUUGAGUCUUCAGAAGCAGAAGCUUACGGAUACUUGGAGUAUUCGGAUUAGGAAGUCUUGUGAACUUUACUUCGUACGUGGAGUGAAAAGGGAUUCAAUAGUGAUAAAAAGGAAACAAAGUAGAUUAAUGUCUUUGACCCUCUACAAGAAGACGGCACUGAAUUAUUCAGAUAGGAUAAGAAAGAUAACAUUCUGCCUCUCUUCCUGAAUCUUAUUCCAUGGAGCUGACAUAUGUGAAAUAAGUACUGAUUUAAGUCAAUCAAAAAGAUGAUACAAUAUGUACCGUAAUUUCCGGCCGUUUACCUGCAUGUUGAUUUGUUGAAUUCUCAAAAAAAUUGAUAUCUUCGGUUCUAC